rnacentral:rRNA from 1 species
UACGGGGGGGGCAAGCGUUGUUCGGAAUUACUGGGCGUAAAGGGUUCGUAGGUGGCUUGCUCAGUCAGACGUGAAAUCCCUCAGCUUAACUGGGGAACUGCGUCUGAUACUAGCGAGCUUGAGUGCAGGAGAGGAACGCGGAAUUCCAGGUGUAGCGGUGAAAUGCGUAGAUAUCUGGAGGAACACCGGUGGCGAAGGCGGCGUUCUGGACUGCAACUGACACUGAGGAACGAAAGCCAGGGGAGCAAACGGG